AACAAAAUCAGUAAAGUUAAAAUUAGGUAGUGAGAUUAGUUCUAAGGUCUGUUCCAAUACAUCCUUCAUACCUUUGUGAUCACCUGGGGCCUCACGUAUCAAUCUUGCGUACGCACGAAAACACGGCGUACGCCAGCUUUCACGUUCACGGUCAGAUGUACUAACAGUGAAAUUAACGUAAGAAUGUGCGUUCUUCCACGUAAACUUCAGGCCUGGCGUACGUACAUUUUUGUGAUGUUUGUCCGUUGGCGACUCAUAGAGGCAAUAAAGUGAAGUGGCAAACAUUACACUACGAACUGUUCUAUCGCACCUGCCAGAUAUUGCUUAUAAUUUGUAAUUGAUAAAUGAUUUGCCAUAUUAUUGUCACACGAGUCUUAUUAGAAUAUUCUAUUAAUUAUGCAAUUAAGUAAGAACAUAUAUAAAGGAUGUGAAAAUUGAUACAACCCGUCUAGCAAUGGCAGCUUUGGCUUUAUUAGAAGACAUUUUCAAAUGGACAAAUCCGGAGAGAACAAGUUUUUAGGGACCACGGUGAUUUUCUGGCCCACGACGAUGACUGGCUCAUCAGCCGUUUCAGAUUUCCAAGGGCUAUACUCUUGGAGCUCUGCGCUGAGUUGGGUCCGAAUUUGGAAAGAGAGACAGUGAGGAGCCACGCAUUACCCGUUCCUUUACAGGUGCUUACUACACUUGGUUUCCUAGCAACCGGUUCUUUCCAAAGAGAACUGGCAGACCGCUCAGGAAUAAGCCAGUCGUGUUUGAGCCGUGCAAUGCCACCUGUAUGGGACGGCAUCAUCCGCUUGUCUACCAGGUAUAUAACGUUCCCAUACGAUGCAGGUGACCAGCCAAACAUCAAAGCGCAAUUUGCAGCGAUAGCCGGUUUUCCUAAUGUAAUCGGAGCGAUCGACUGCACACAUAUUGCUAUAAAGGCGCCAUCUGAAGACGAAUUUGCAUAUGUGAAUCGGAAACAUUUCCAUUCAAUAAAUGUGCAGAUUAUAUGUGAUGCACAAAUGCGCCUAACAAAUAUUGUGGCAAGGUGGCCUGGGUCAACCCAUGAUUCAUAUAUCCUUACAAACAGCAUGGUUGGGAUGAGACUCCAAGCUGGCAGGGUGCGCGAUGGGUGGCUACUUGGUAAGUUAUGCAUUUAAAUGUAUGGUUCUAUCUAAAAGUAAAAUGUUUGUGUCUGUAAUUAUUAUUACUGCCCAUCAGGAGACAGUGGUUAUCCACUAAAGACGUGGCUGUUAACCCCCCUCACCAACCCACAAACUGACCGAGAGCGCAGAUACAAUGAUGCCCAUUCCCGCACUCGGUCAGUUGUGGAGCGGGCGAUUGGGCAGCUGAAAUGUCGGUGGCGCUGCCUUGACAGGACCGGUGGGGAUGCUGUUAUACCGCCCUGACAAGGUUUGCCGCAUCAUACUGGCCUGUGGAGUGCUGCACAAUGUCGCGCACAGGCAUGGCAUACCCCUUGGUGAGGUGGGGGCACCGCCAGAUGACCCUGACCCAGGACCAGUAUAUGUGCAGCACAAUCAACAAGCCAUUCAGGCCCGUCAACGUGUAAUUGCGACAAUAUAAAUGAACAGCAUGCGUCAAGACACGGCCAGAUGGACGGGCUUCAGCACUGGGGGGAACAUUAGAGACACGGGAGACGCUGGACUGAAUGGGCUCUGGCUGCUCAGGUGGUGCGGACUCUGAGUGCGUGCCAGUGGACGUUCCUCGCGGUUCCUAAGUCCAAUUAAACACAGGCACAUCUUAACAGUAAUUUGAGUCUGUUCCUUAUUAAUGGGUACACGCAUUUGCAAUAAAAGCAGUGGAUACGUGAAA